UGGUUCCCGUACGAUCACCGAAGUUAAGCAACGUCUAGCUUGAUCCGUACUUAGAUGGGUGACCUCUUGAGAAUACCAGGUGCUGUAA